rnacentral:rRNA from 1 species
GUCUACGGCCAUGCUACCCUGAACAAGCCCGAUCUUGUCUGAUCUCGGAAGCUAAGCAGGGUCGGGCCUGGUUAGUACUUGGAUGGGACACCACCUAGGAAGACCAGAUGCUGUAGGCG